rnacentral:rRNA from 1 species
CCCAAGGGUGGGGCUGCCCGCCCAUUAAAGGGGAACGUGAGAUGGGUUUAGACCGUCGUGAGACAGGUCGGUCUCUACCUGCCGGGGGUGUUGGCCGCUUGAGGGGAAGGUGCCCUCAGUACGAGAGGAACGGGGCGCCGCGGCCUCUAGUCUACCGGUUGUCCGGUAGGGCAUAGCCGGGCAGCCACGCCGUAGGGGAUAACCGCUGAAAGCAUCUAAGCGGGAAGCCCUCCCCGAAACGAGGCGGCCACUUCACGGCGGGAAACCGCCGUGGACGAGGGCUCCCCUAAAAGAGGGGGUUGAUGGGGUGGGGGUGUAAGCGCCAAGGCUUCGGCCGAGGCGUUCAGCCCGCCACUCCCAAUCGCCCGAGGU